CACUCUUUAGAUGUCCUACCCCCUGCAUGUCUUUCACUCACGAAGGAACACAAAACCAGUGGCCUAGCCACAUUUCAGACCCCUGAGGUGACUUCUGUUUAUGUUCUUUCCUUUGCCUGAAAUAAUCUCACUUGCCUUUUGUCCAGCAAACUUUCUUAGUUUAAAAGUUACUUCCCCUAAUUUCCUGACCAUUAAAACUGAGUUCAGUGUCCCUACUACCCCUCUCCAUAGUACUCUGGAUCCUAUAAUCAAACAUUCCAUAUGUACAGAAGCCAGAGACUCUGUUCCUCCCUGUGCCUUAAUUUCCCUUAAUCUACACUUCUGUGAGAUGAGCAUCAUUCCCUAGCUUGGCAUCUUGCAUGGACUUUUUUUUUUUUUUUUUUUGAGGAGAUAGUAUUCUUGCUAGGGUUUAAAUGGAUUUUGCUUGCUAUUCAAAUCACAAUACAGAAAUUUACUUUAGGCCAAAUAUUCUUCACUGGCUUUGAGACACUUCUCUGUGUUCUGAAAACCAUUGAUCUUUACCAACACAUAGCCCUUUUCAUUUUUUACACUGGUUCUAUUGCAGGAACCUGCUCAGGUCUCUGAACCUGCAUUAGAACACUGAAUCUUCAUACUGACCUUAUGAGGUAGAUAACAUAAUCAAUUGACAACGAUACUAUUGACAACUAAGGGAAAUUAAGGCACAAGGAGGAACACACAGCUUGAAGGAGACAGUACCAGGUGCAGGAACAUGGCCCUAGAAACUCAGGCGGUGUAUGCUGGGCUAGAGACAGUAAAGGAGAGAGGCAGGACAUGGAGGGAAACCCUGUACACUUUUCUGGCACUUUAAGCUCUAGGAGCACUUCAUUGUGCCCAGAGACAUUUUAAAUCAUUCCAUUCUUAACUGAUGGCAGCGAUUCUCUACAGAGGCUUUUCUAGUUACCCUAAAGUUACAGUUGUUGUUUUUGAGCCCAAAUGCAAUUAAAGCUUCAGUACUUAUCCAUAGAGUAGCUAGCUAACUUGAUGCCGGGAGCCCAGACACUGACUUUCUGGCAAUUUAAUUGCCUGUGGCUGGUGCUUUUUGUUUUUUCCUCUCCCAGCCUUGUCUCUACUUUCACUUACACUCCCCUCACUCCUCAACCCUCCCCCAAGAGGUACAUAGGAGAGGUACUGACAUCCCUUAAUCUUGUCUUCCUCCCCUCCCUCCCCUCCUUCUUCCUCCCUCCUUCUCCCCCUUCCUCACUGACCACCUACCUAGAACUUCCUUCCCAAGAUCAAAAAUAUACCUCCAUGCCCCAUCCAUUGCAGCUUUUCCUCCUGAAUAUUUUCCCUAGUCAGGGACACGCAGUGACUUUCCAUUCACUGUUAUAACUCACAUGGUAGAAAUAAAAAAAUAUGCAACAUUUCCUCAAAUCUCAUUGAGAUUACAAAUUAAACUUUGAAAAACAAUUCCUGGUAUUUUCUUAAUUAAAUAUCGAAUUUUUCAUGUGUGAUUAUUUUCUGUAUGUAAUUAUGUAAUGAGAAGAUAUUUGUCUAGUAUUUAAAUAGGUUCUGCAGAAGAUAUGUGGGGUUUUGCUCAGAUCUUCUUUGCAGAGUUGAAGAAAGAAAUGUUUAGAUCAGUUUAGUUUCAUUUUGCUUAACCAAAGAUCCAGAAUCCUGUUGAGAGAGAGAGAAAUAAUGAAAGUAAAAUUUAGCUGUCACAGAGAUAAUGUCAGUACUCUAAGCCUUAUUUUGGGUUAGUUUUGGCACAUUAUGGCCAGUUUGGAAAUCCUAUGCCCACCCUCUUCUGUAACUGGCAUAACAAUGCCAUUGGGAUUCAGCUAUGCAAGUACCUCCACUUUUCUUGGCAUGCCAUCUGUACCAAGCACAUGCUCUGAGUUCCAUGGGUACACCUCAUCACUGGAACUUGGCAUCUGGUGAAUUGUUUAGACUUGUGGGAGAUCAUCUAGACUUGACUUUUCCUGAAGAUCUCCUGCAUACUAAUGUUCUCACCGCUUGCCAUUUGGAGCUAUUGAGGUCUAGGGCACUAACACCAUGAGGAGAGCUGCUGUUACAAGAAUUGUGCUGAAUAUGAAAGAGGGACUCUUCCACAUGCCCUUAUUGCUUAAGCAUACUUUUCCAUUGCAUGAAGAAUAUUGUGGGUUGUUCAUGUCAUCUUUCAACUCAAUCUUCAUUACAAAAGAGAUUAACUAAAUUCUUAUAAGCUUCUGACAGGUGGAAAUCCUAGUUUCCAACACUGGUACAGAUUUUACUACAAAGUGUCAUGUACCUUUGCUCAUUUUUAAAGGAGAUUUGAAAGGAAAAGUCAGUUAAAUAUGAUGGAGACAGGAGGCAGAGAAAUUCUAGGUAGAAAAGGGUGAGUCCCCAGUGAAAACCCUACCCUCAAGCUGAAAUGCCUGAAACCCCGGCCCAAAGUGAGAAUUUAUAUCCCUGUUUUCCUACUUGAAUGUUGCCUUUUCCUAAACUGCCCAUGGCCCGCCCUGCCUGCAAUCCUGUGCCUAUAAAGACCCAAGACUCAGUCAGAGAGGAGUGGAGACUAUGGCUGGACAUUGGAGAGAAGCAGCUUGACUUCAGAGGGACAGCUUGACAGUGUAACUUCAGAGAAGAAUCCAGCUGGACAGGGCCAGACUUCAGGGGAAGAUCACCUACCCCACUGUCCCCUUUUCAGCUCCCUUUCUCACUGAGAGCCACUUUCAUCAGCAAUAAAAUCCCCCUCAUUUACCAUCCUUCAGUUUGUUUUUGUGACCACAUUUUUCCUGGACACCGGACAAGAGCCUGGGAGCCAUGAGUGCCGAUAUAAAAGGCUCUCACAUUCGCCAUUUGCCCUUGCUGGUGGAGGGCAGCUGUCCCACAUGACAAGGCAAAGGGCCCACUGAGCUGUUAACACUUAAGCCGUCCACAGACAGCAGAGCUAAAAGAGCACUGUUAACACAUCUUCUGGGGCUUCAGGAAUCGCAGGCAACCCCACCUGGAUGCUACCACAGGGCCUGCACAGUUUGUUCCUGCCCAUGCCAAAGCGGCCAGCCAGUUCCAGUGCUUGUACACUCCAGUUCCUGCCUUGUUUGCCUGUGCACUCCCUCCCAGGAGGAGUUGAGAAUGGCAGGCUGAGUAAACAAGGCACCCCUGUCUCGAGUCCUGUGAAGGGGUCAGGGAAAUAUCCUGCUUCAAAUGUACCAUCAUUUAACUGAAUGAGUGCUCAAAAUACCAUCUGAACACAUUUCGUUUAAAAACAAAAAUCAAAUAUACAAAAAAAUCAAGUUUUUAUUUCAAAUAUUUGAAUCUAAUAGAUCAUUAUUUAGGUUUAUACUCUGUGAAU
rnacentral:lncRNA from 10 species